rnacentral:tRNA from 1 species
GCCCCUGUAGCUCAUCGGUAGAGCGGUUGUCUUGUAAACAACAGGCACCGAGUUCAAUUCUCGGCGGGGGCU